ACAUCAAGAUCUGUACGAGUCUUGACGUGUUAGUAGUGAAAUUACGUUUUUACGUGAUUUUAUAUUAGUUUGUCAAGAAAUCUCGUCAUUAAACGCGUGAAUAUAUUUUUGGUUACAUCAUGGCUAAAACAAAAGCAGAGCGUUUAGCCCAACAAAGGCUCUGCAAAAGACGUAAGUAUUUGGAAAUAAAAAAUUA